rnacentral:tmRNA from 1 species
GGGGAUGUUCUGGUUUUGACAGCACUGACCUCGGACGGUAAGCACGCCGGGCGUUGGAGCCUUGCCCGUAAAUCUCAGACUCCGAACAACAGUUGCCAAAAACAACUACGCACUCGCUGCCUAAUCAGACUUAGUCGGUUAGCUUAAUCCGCGGAGCCAAGGCUGCCCCGCCGACGAGUAUCCCCCGGACUUCACGCCGGUCAUGUUCCGACCAGGGGGUAUCAUUCAGACCGGAUGCACGGAGGGACUCCCUUAAACUCCGCCAAGACCCAAGGGAUAAGGUCGCCCCAAGCCCGCCUUCCGGCGUGGACGGCCCGACAGCCAAAGGAAGGAUAAGCGUGUAGAAAGCCGCCUGUAGCGGUGUUUGGACGGCGGUUCGAGUCCGCCCAUCUCCAC